rnacentral:rRNA from 1 species
GAUGAACGCUGGCGGCGUGCCUAAUACAUGCAAGUCGAGCGAACGGACGAGGAGCUUGCUUCUCUGAUGUUAGCGGCGGACGGGUGAGUAACACGUGGAUAACCUACCUAUAAGACUGGGAUAACUUCGGGAAACCGGAGCUAAUACCGGAUGAUAUUUUGAACCGCAUGGUUCAAAGGUGAAAGACGGUCUUGCUGUCACUUAUAGAUGGAUCCGCGCUGCAUUAGCUAGUUGGUAAGGUAACGGCUUACCAAGGCAACGAUGCAUAGCCGACCUGAGAGGGUGAUCGGCCACACUGGAACUGAGACACGGUCCAGACUCCUACGGGAGGCAGCAGUAGGGAAUCUUCCGCAAUGGGCGAAAGCCUGACGGAGCAACGCCGCGUGAGUGAUGAAGGUCUUCGGAUCGUAAAACUCUGUUAUUAGGGAAGAACAUAUGUGUAAGUAACUGUGCACAUCUUGACGGUACCUAAUCAGAAAGCCACGGCUAACUACGUG